AGAGUUUGAUCAUGGCUCAGGACGAACGCUGGCGGCGUGCCUAAUACAUGCAAGUCGAACGCUUCUGCUUUAACUGAUGCUUGCAUCGACCUAAGUUAGAAGAGUGGCGAACGGGUGAGUAACACGUGGGUAACCUGCCCAUCAGAGGGGGAUAACACUUGGAAACAGGUGCUAAUACCGCAUAACACUAAAAACCGCAUGGUUUUUGGUUGAAAGGCGCUUCUGGUGUCGCUGAUGGAUGGACCCGCGGUGCAUUAGCUAGUCGGUGGGGUAACGGCCUACCGAGGCAAUGAUGCAUAGCCGACCUGAGAGGGUGAUCGGCCACAUUGGGACUGAGACACGGCCCAAACUCCUACGGGAGGCAGCAGUAGGGAAUCUUCGGCAAUGGACGCAAGUCUGACCGAGCAACGCCGCGUGAGUGAUGAAGGUUUUCGGAUCGUAAAACUCUGUUGUUAGAGAAGAACAAGAGAAGUAGUAACUGGCUUCUCCUUGACGGUAUCUAACCAGAAAGCCACGGCUAACUACGUGCCAGCAGCCGCGGUAAUACGUAGGUGGCAAGCGUUGUCCGGAUUUAUUGGGCGUAAAGCGAGCGCAGGCGGUCUUUUAAGUCUGAUGUGAAAGCCCACGGCUUAACCGUGGAGGGUCAUUGGAAACUGGGAGACUUGAGUGCAGAAGAGGAAAGUGGAACUCCAUGUGUAGCGGUGGAAUGCGUAGAUAUAUGGAAGAACACCAGUGGCGAAGGCGGCUUUCUGGUCUGUAACUGACGCUGAGGCUCGAAAGCGUGGGGAGCAAACAGGAUUAGAUACCCUGGUAGUCC
rnacentral:rRNA from 1 species